rnacentral:rRNA from 1 species
UGGGGGUGAAAGGCCAAUCAAACCGGGAGAUAGCUGGUUCUCCCCGAAAGCUAUUUAGGUAGCGCCUCGUGAAUUCAUCUCCGGGGGUAGAGCACUGUUUCGGCAAGGGGGUCAUCCCGACUUACCAACCCGAUGCAAACUGCGAAUACCGGAGAAUGUUAUCACGGGAGACACACGGCGGGUGCUAACGUCCGUCGUGAAGAGGGAAACAACCCAGACCGCCAGCUAAGGUCCCAAAGUCAUGGUUAAGUGGGAAACGAUGUGGGAAGGCCCAGACAGCCAGGAUGUUGGCUUAGAAGCAGCCAUCAUUUAAAGAAAGCGUAAUAGCUCACUGGUCGAGUCGGCCUGCGCGGAAGAUGUAACGGGGCUAAACCAUGCACCGAAGCUGCGGCAGCGACACUAUGUGUUGUUGGGUAGGGGAGCGUUCUGUAAGCCUGUGAAGGUGGCCUGUGAGGGUUGCUGGAGGUAUCAGAAGUGCGAAUGCUGACAUAAGUAACGAUAAAGCGGGUGAAAAGCCCGCUCGCCGGAAGACCAAGGGUUCCUGUCCAACGUUAAUCGGGGCAGGGUGAGUCGACCCCUAAGGCGAGGCCGAAAGGCGUAGUCGAUGGGAAACAGGUUAAUAUUCCUGUACUUGGUGUUACUGCGAAGGGGGGACGGAGAAGGCUAUGUUGGCCGGGCGACGGUUGUCCCGGUUUAAGCGUGUAGGCUGGUUUUCCAGGCAAAUCCGGAAAACCAAGGCUGAGGCGUGAUGACGAGGCACUACGGUGCUGAAGCGACAAAUGCCCUGCUUCCAGGAAAAGCCUCUAAGCAUCAGGUAACAUCAAAUCGUACCCCAAACCGACACAGGUGGUCAGGUAGAGAAUACCAAGGCGCUUGAGAGAACUCGGGUGAAGGAACUAGGCAAAAUGGUGCCGUAACUUCGGGAGAAGGCACGCUGAUAUGUAGGUGAAGCGACUUGCUCGUGGAGCUGAAAUCAGUCGAAGAUACCAGCUGGCUGCAACUGUUUAUUAAAAACACAGCACUGUGCAAACACGAAAGUGGACGUAUACGGUGUGACGCCUGCCCGGUGCCGGAAGGUUAAUUGAUGGGGUUAGCGGUAACGCGAAGCUCUUGAUCGAAGCCCCGGUAAACGGCGGCCGUAACUAUAACGGUCCUAAGGUAGCGAAAUUCCUUGUCGGGUAAGUUCCGACCUGCACGAAUGGCGUAAUGAUGGCCAGGCUGUCUCCACCCGAGACUCAGUGAAAUUGAACUCGCUGUGAAGAUGCAGUGUACCCGCGGCAAGACGGAAAGACCCCGUGAACCUUUACUAUAGCUUGACACUGAACAUUGAGCCUUGAUGUGUAGGAUAGGUGGGAGGCUUUGAAGUGUGGACGCCAGUCUGCAUGGAGCCGACCUUGAAAUACCACCCUUUAAUGUUUGAUGUUCUAACGUUGGCCCGUAAUCCGGGUUGCGGACAGUGUCUGGUGGGUAGUUUGACUGGGGCGGUCUCCUCCUAAAGAGUAACGGAGGAGCACGAAGGUUGGCUAAUCCUGGUCGGACAUCAGGAGGUUAGUGCAAUGGCAUAAGCCAGCUUGACUGCGAGCGUGACGGCGCGAGCAGGUGCGAAAGCAGGUCAUAGUGAUCCGGUGGUUCUGAAUGGAAGGGCCAUCGCUCAACGGAUAAAAGGUACUCCGGGGAUAACAGGCUGAUACCGCCCAAGAGUUCAUAUCGACGGCGGUGUUUGGCACCUCGAUGUCGGCUCAUCACAUCCUGGGGCUGAAGUAGGUCCCAAGGGUAUGGCUGUUCGCCAUUUAAAGUGGUACGCGAGCUGGGUUUAGAACGUCGUGAGACAGUUCGGUCCCUAUCUGCCGUGGGCGCUGGAGAACUGAGGGGGGCUGCUCCUAGUACGAGAGGACCGGAGUGGACGCAUCACUGGUGUUCGGGUUGUCAUGCCAAUGGCACUGCCCGGUAGCUAAAUGCGGAAGAGAUAAGUGCUGAAAGCAUCUAAGCACGAAACUUGC